UACAGGGGGGGCAAGCGUUGUUCGGAAUUACUGGGCGUAAAGGGCUCGUAGGCGGCCAACUAAGUCACACGUGAAAUCCCCAGGCUUAACCUGGGAACUGCGUGUGAUACUGGAUGGCUUGAAUCCGGGAGAGGGAUGCGGAAUUCCAGGUGUAGCGGUGAAAUGCGUAGAUAUCUGGAGGAACACCGGUGGCGAAGGCGGCAUCCUGGACCGGCAUUGACGCUGAUGAGCGAAAGCCAGGGGAGCAAACGGG
rnacentral:rRNA from 1 species